GUUACAGCCAUUGGUGGAUGCCUUGGCGUCAUAUGGCGAUGAAGGACGCAGCAAGCUGCGAUAAGCCUCGGGGAGCGUCAAACACGCUUUGAUCCGGGGAUUUCCGAAUGGGGAAACCCAAUGCCGGUAAUGCGGCAUUACUCCCAGCUGAAUAUAUAGGCUGGGUAGAGCGACACGCGGUGAAGUGAAACAUCUCAGUAACC
rnacentral:rRNA from 14 species